rfam:Erinaceus europaeus unplaced genomic scaffold scaffold00295, whole genome shotgun sequence
GUACUUACCUGACAGUGGAAAAACCAUGAUCAGGCAGGUGGUCUCCUAGGGUGAGACUAGUCAUUGCACUUUGAAUUUGUUGACCCCUGUGAUUUUCCCAAAUGUGGAAAAUUUGACUACAUAAUUCCUGUUAGUGGGGGACUGUGUGCACGCUCUCCCCUG